GUCCACACCGUAAACGAUGGAUACUAGGCGUUUGGAGAGUUAACCCUCUGAGUGCCGCAGUUCACACAUUAAGUAUCCCGCCUGGGGAGUACGGUCGCAAGGCUAAAACUCAAAGGAAUUGACGGGGGCCCGCACAAGCGGUGGAGUAUGUGGUUUAAUUCGAAGCAACGCGCAGAACCUUACCUGGCCUUGACAUCCCGGGACAACCUCAGAGAUGAGGCGUUCUCUUCGGAGACUCGGUGACAGAUGCUGCAUGGCU
rnacentral:rRNA from 1 species